rnacentral:rRNA from 1 species
GACGAACGCUGGCGGCGUGCCUAAUACAUGCAAGUCGAACGCAGUGGGGACGGGUGAGUAACCCGUGGGUCACCUCCCAUCAGAGGGGAUAACACUUGGAAACAGGUGCUAAACCGAUACUGAUGGAUGGACCCGCGGUGCAUUAGCUAGUUGGGGAGGUAACGGCUCACCAAGGCCACGAUGCAUAGCCGAGCUGAGAGGGGGAUCGGCGACACUGGGACUGAGACACGGCCCAGACGCCUACGGGAGGCAGCAGUGGGGAAUCUGCGGAAAUGGACGAAAGUCUGACCGAGCAACGCCGCGUGAGUGAAGAAGGUUUUCGGAUCGUAAAACUCUGUUGUUGGAGAAGCGGUAUCUAACCAGAAAGCCACGGCUAACUACGUGCCAGCAGCCGCGGUAAUAC